rnacentral:lncRNA from 1 species
AAUACUCAGGUUUAUGAAAAAUUAAAAUUUUGACUUGAGAUGAAAAUGACCAUUUUGCCCCUACUUUGGAAAUCAUCAUUAUUUUUAUUUCCUUCGUCAUUUAAUCCUUAUUUUCAUCAUUCAUUUAUGCUUUAGGCCUACUUAGGCCUUAAAAAUGUUUGAAAGCAUACUUCUAGGGGCACAUUAAUAAAAUGAUGAAAUUACCCCUAGCUUUGGUUGUUGUGUCUACACCUAGAUAUGAGGUUAUAGAGGUCGAGGUCUCGCAUAUGUAAUUCAUCACAUUAUAAGUUUAAAAACAUAGAAGUAUCACUUGUGAAAAGCUUGUUCUACUCUAUAAAUUUUAAAAGAGUCAACCAAGGAUAUUCUAACAUUUCAUUCAACACAUGCAUUUGUUCAAAACCUUUUAAAUGCAAGUUCACUCACCUUACAACUAGCACCAACAAGGUCCUAAUCCAAGUAAGUCCUGAAGUACCAUUAGGACCUAUAUAUGUCAAUAAACCAUAACAACCUCAAUUAUGUCAUAAAUUGAAUCUAAUAAUUCUAAUAAAUUACACUAGACAAUCUACACUCUAACCUAACAUUUAACCUAAAAUUCUAGUUUAAUUCACAAACCCAUUAGACCAACUAUUCUAAUUUAGAGUUUCUUUACCUGGAUGAGCUUGGUGGUAUACAGAUCAAUAGAAACCUAAUAUUUCCAAGAAAACAAAUUUGAAGAAAAUUAGAAAAUAAAAUCUAAAAAUAUAUAUAAACCCAUAAAUUUCAAAACCAUGAGUUGAAAAUAUAUACCUUUUGGCUUUAAAAUGCAGAUCCAAAGCUAAAAAGCUUAGGUAGUGAUGAAAGUGCAGUAUAAUGGAAAAAUGAAGAAAAGAAAAGAAGAAAAUUUUCUUUUCUCUCUCCCAAACCUCGUUUGUCAUGAAAAUGAGCUGGAGAAUGGUGGAUUGAUGAACAAGGAAAAGAUAGAAGAAUGAAGAAUCAAGAGAAGAAAGAAAAGGGAAAAGAAAUAAAGAAAAAGAAAAAAGAUCGAUUUUUGUUGCAAGGGAGAAAAUGGUGUUGGGUUGGAAGAGAAGAAGAAAAUGCCUUAUGGAGAAGAUAAGGAUCAGCCAUGGAUAAGGAAGAAAAUAGUCAAAGCUUCCUUUGGAAGCUUUGACCAAGCUCAUGACAAAAUUACCAUUUUGCCCUCUAAGUUUCUCCUCUUUUUAAUUUAGUCCUCUCAACAAUCUUUUAAUUACAAUUUCCUUCUAUUUUUUCUUUCUUUACAUGUGUGCAAACAAAAUAUAAAGUUUUCACUUCAACGCAGUAUCAUCAUAAUAUUUAAAUAUCUACUUACCCGUUCUAAUUCUAUUUAAUUAAGACACGCGGGCACAACUAUUGCCAUUUUUCUUCGAAAUUCUAACUUAUUUCUUCUCCCCCACUUAGAUUAUCCAUAUACUCCUCCUUCAUGAUUAAUUUCAACCACAGCUAAGAUAUUAAUAUUUUAAUAUCAUUUUAUUAAUAAAAUAUUAUUUUAUUCCAAAGUUCUCCAUUAGCCAUCUAGGGCUCCGAAACAUCUUACUUUGCCCCGGUUCACUUCCAGAUCACCUUUUAACUCAGUAAUUCACCUUUAAUAAAAAUAUUAUUAUUCUAUUAUGAUUUCCUCGCGUGCAAGAUAUUUUAUUUUAAAAUACUCCUUUCACUCGUUUCCAUUCUUUGAUGCUUAAAUCAGCAUCCAUUGACCCUUUGUCUUGUUGAUAAGGUCAUAUUGACUUUUGUACGAAGGUACGAGGUGUCACAGUUAUGUUAAAUGUAUAAGGUGGCUUAAGAGGCCGAAUGGACACCCGAGGGUGUUGAGACAUUUAAAUGAUAUGGGCACAAUGAUGAUAUAUGAAAUGUUUACACUUACACUAAUACAUUGAGACAUUCUAUAUAUGUGUAGUGUUACAUUUGAUGGUAUGCAUGAGUUGAUGUUGUAUGCUUAUGGAUGUUUAAGUAUACUUCCAUAUUAACAAAUGUUUAAUUAUGAAUGUUAAAAAUGCUUACUUAAGCCUAACGGGCUAUUCCUGUAUGUGUUCAUGUGCCAGUCAUGUUCUACCAUAAAAUGGGACAUGACUGUCUCAAAGUAGUAACACCUAUACCCAAGGUAGUUAGUUUAGAGGAUUUUGCUAUUGACUUACAAAGAGUUAGUCAUACCAUGGAGGUUUUACUCAAUAGAUCUUGGAUCAAAAGUGACAGGGUAGUGAUCAUCCUAUUGUCCAAGCAUGCUCUGAAUCUUAGAGUUAGAGUGAUUAGCCACAAGUUAGUAUGAUUAAAGUUGGGGCCAAGGAUCAACUAUCGGAGUUCAUGAAGCUAAAACCCCCUACAUUUUCUGGAUUCUUAGAUGACAUUGAGGUCAUAUGCAAUUCUUAUAGUUACACUAGCACUUGGAUGGUGGAGCUAGCUACAUUUUGACUAGGUAAAGCAACUGAGCAGUGGUAUGAUCUAUUAUGUAAAGGCAAAGUGCCUGGUGCUACACCAAUUACUUGGCAGAAGGUUCAUAUAGCUUUUUGAUGUGUUUUCUAUUUGUCAAUGUGAAAGAGGCUAGAGCUCGUGAGUUCAAGAUGUUAAUAUAGACCCCAAGGAUAAUAGUGCUAAAGUAUAGUAUUAAGUUUACUGAGCUGUCUUCGUAUGCACCUUACUGAGUGGUUACUGAGGAGAUGAGGGUUAUAAGGUUUGUUAAUGGAUUGGUACGACCUCUAUAUAGAGCUGUAGCGCCCAAGGAGUUCACUAAUUACUUUAAGGUAGUGAACUGUGCUCUUAGGCUAGAGAUGAAGGAUACAAAGACUAGAGGAAGGUAAGAUAGGUCCAAGAAUGUAGGAUUGAAGGCCAAUAGGGCUGGCAAAAAGGUUCACAAACAUCCUAGUAAUUAAGCGGUGCUAGUGGCAGUUCUAAGAAGAAGAAUACUACCAAAUCACACAAGUAACAGGCUACAAAAUAGUCUUAAGAACAUAGAGCAUUAUGUUUUUCAUAUGGUAGGAGGCACAAACGGCAAUGUUUCCAAGGAACCACCUUUUGUUAUUCAUGUAGGUUGACUAGAUAUUUUGCUAGGGAUUGUCUCAAUGAUCGAAUUACUUAGGGGUCGACACAUGGACAAACACAGCUAACUUUACCUACCCCAUCCGUAGUUGCUUAGACUAGUAGAGAGGUUAGAGGAGCAAAAGGUCAAGGUGCUAGUAGUUCAUUCAAGGGUAGAGGAUUUAAAGCCCAAGGGAAUUUUGGUCAAGGACAGGCCAAAGUUUAUGCUCUAACUCAACAGGAUGCAUAGGCAUCCAAUGAAGUGUUGAAUGUAUGCUACCUAUUUGUUCUAUUGUUGCAUCUAUAUUGUAUGACCCUGGUGCUAGCAUUCAUUUGUAUCCCCACACUUUACAUCUUGAUUAGGUAUAAGGCGCUCUAAGUAGGAGCAAGACUUGGUAGUUACUAUACCGUUGAGAGAAAUAUUUAUGGCAAAGGAUGUGUAUAGAGAUUGCAUGGUUCGAAUUAGGAGCAAGGACACUUAAGGAAAUUUAGUUUUGCUAGGCAUGUUGGAAUUUGAUGUGAUAUUAGGCAAAGAUUAGCUGUCACCCAAUUAUGCUAGUGUUGAUUGCUAUUAGAAGAGGGUACACUUUAACUAUUCAAGGGAGAAAGCAUUUACUAUCCAAGAGGAUCGUAGUAUAGUGAUGAGUAAUAUGAUUUCAACCUUAGAGGCUAGAAGAUUGAUUGGUCAUGGAUGUUAGGGUAUCUUGGCAUUAAUCAAGAACACCCACAUGGUGGGUGAGGUGGCCAACGUGCCAAUUGUGAGGGAGUUCACUAACGUGAUUCCCAAUGAGUUACCAAGAUUACCACCAAAUAGAGAUAUAGAGUUUUAGACCGGCUUGGUACAGGGAACAAGUCUGAUAUCUAUACCACUGUACUGAAUGGCACUAGUAGAGCUGAAAUAACCCAAGGGUCAAUUGGAAGACCUAUUGGAGAAGGGUUUCAUUCAUCCUAGUUUGUCACCAUGAGGUACAUUAGCGCUAUUCAUAAAAAAGAAAGAUUAUUUAAUGAUACUGUGUAUAGAUUAUCGACAAUUGAACAAGGCGAUGGUGAAGAAUAAGCAUCAUUUACCACGCAUUCAUGACUUGUUUGAUCAGCUCCAAGAAGCUCAAUAUUUUUUUAAGAUUGACUUCAGGUCAGGCUAUCAUUAGUUGAGAAUUAAGCAAGAGGAUAUGCCUAAGACUACUUUUCAAACUAGGUAUAAGCAAUAUGAGUUCUUGGUGAGGUCAUUCGGACUUACGAAUGCCUUGAUUGACUUUAUGGACACAAUGAACCGAGUGUUCAUGCCAUACUUGGAUAGGUUUAUGGUUGUAUUUAUUGAUGAUAUAUUGGUAUACUCGAGGAGUAGAGAGCAGCAUGAGCAACAUUUGAGGAAAGUGCUUCAAACUUUGAGUGAGCAAGGGUUGUAUGUUAAGUUCUCCAAGUGCGAGUUCUAGCUUGAUAGUGUUAGCUUUUUAGGCCAUGUAGUAUAUAAGGAUGGAGUUAUGGUGGACCCAAAGAAGAUCGAGGUGGUGGAGAAAUGGCCAUGGCGUACUUUAGUGACUGAGAUAUCGAGUUUUCUAAGGUUGGCCGAAUAUUAUAGAAGAUUUGUUAAGGACAUCUCCAACAUCAUAGCUCCUAAGACUAAGUUCACAUAGAAGGGUGUCAAGGUUUUAUGGACAAAUGCAUGUGAGGAGAGCUUUAGGAAGGUGAAAACAUGUUUUGCCAUAGCUCUAGUAAUGAGUUUACCUUGUGGUUUAGGGGACUACAUUGUUUAUUGCGAUGCCUCAUGAGUAGGACUUGGGUGUGUGUUGAUGCAACAUGGUAAGGUGAUUGUGCAUGCAUCGAGACAGCUCAAGAGGCAUGACCAAAAUUACCCCACCCAUUAUUUAGAGAUGGCUACUAUAGUGUUUGCCCUAAUGAUUUAGAGGCAAUACCUAUAUGAUAAGAUGCGUGAGAUUUACAUGAAUCACAAGAGCUUCAAGUAUAUCUUUGAAUAGAGGGAUCUUAACCUUAGGCAGCAAUAACUGUAAAGCUCGAUCUUAUGAAACACUUGUCAUGACAUACAUGUGAUGGAUAGCAUGUUUGCAUGCUAAGAGAGUCCCCGAAGAAUUUACAAAAGUCGGUAUUGUACCUAGAGGUACAACAAAGUUGAUUUAAACCUCGAACUAGACCAAAUAGAUAUUUUAGGGUGAAAUUGAAAUUUUUAAAAUCCUAGAACGACUUAAAAUGGUGAUUCGGAGUUCGAGGAUUAAUUUGUAGUCAAAUUGAAAAUUUCACUAUCUAGGGGUAAAAUGGUAAUUUUACCACUCGAGGACAAAAUGAGAAUUUUUUUGAAAUAUUUUGAUCAUAUUUGACUUAUUGGAGUAUGAUUUGAGGUUGAGAAGUGAAAAAUUGAAAUCUCGGUAUUUUUCAAAGCAUAGGGUAAAAUGGUAAUUUUGCCACCCCAGAGGAAAAAUUGUAGUUUUACACACCCAACACUUGUCCAGCACAUGGAUUUUACCCAACAUUAUCAUGGAUAAUUGAAGAAAUUUAUAUGUUGGAGAGAGAAAGCUUAAUAGUUAAGAAAUGACACAUGGACCAAUAAUAGGGUGACAUGUGUCAAGUUUGUAACCAUUUAUUAUUUAGCUUUAAAUUUAGCAUAAAAUCAGCCCAUUCUCUUCAUAUGGCCGGCCAAACCAAGAGCAAAGGAAGAACAAAGGGAGAAAAGAAAAACAAGAACCCUAGGUGGGAAAAUUCAAGGAAAAAAUUGGUGGAUUUUAAGUAAUCAAGCAAUCAAAGGUAAAAUUUCUUGAUUUUGACUUGUGAUCUACCUUUCCCAUGCAUUUCUCCUUAUUUUCCAUGGUUAAAUUACAUGUUUUCAUGAUGAAUUCAUGGCUGGUCAAAAUGGGUAUGGAGAGAGAAAGAUGUUGGAUUGAUUUGAUUUUAAGAUAUGUUAGUGUUUUUAGUUAGUUUAGCAUAUUUAGAAGCAAAACAACAAGAAAAAAAUCCAUUUUCCCCAUGAAUCUUCAUUGGCCGAAUCUUCCUUGAUGUGUGUGGGUGAUGGAUUGUUAUUAUUUCAAGAGAAAUGGCUUAGAAAAUGAUGAAUAAUGGUGAGAAAAUUAAUUAGAAAAAAUCACGGUGUUAGUGCACUGUAAUGGCCGAAUUUUUCCAUGAAGAAAUGGGAGGGUUUUGAUGCUGAAAGUGGUGUUAUUUGAAUAACGUUUGGUGAAUUGAGGUAUUAGAAAAGAAAUGGAGUAAUUUGGGAUUAAAUUGGACGUGUUAGUAAUUUAAUCGGGUGAUAAGACGAAUUAGGCCAAUGCCGAGUUUAGAUAGUUACCAGUGUAUUUUUGCAUUCCCUAUCAUGCAUUAGUACUUUAAAUUAGUUUAAUUUCAAUUUAGUACCAGUGUAGUAAGUUCCUCGAUUUUGUACUGUGUCAAGGUGGUGAGUCCUCCCACAAGGGCAAGGAAAUUGUACUUGAUGAUCGAUAAUCGGAGUACUUUAGAAAUUCGACUUCCGAAAUAGUGAGUAACCUUAUCAACAUUUUAAUUAUCUAAAGUAUGUUUUGAUUCAAUUUUGGUGAAUUUUAUGAAAAUGAGUUCAAAUGGUAAAUUUUAGGUUUUAUAAACAAAAAUGAGUUUAAAUGAAAAUAUUUUAUAAAUUGUCUUGAAACGAAAUAACGAUUUUGAAAAUAGAGUAACUGGAAACCACUGGUAUGUUGUAAAUUUUAUGAUUGGAAAUUGAUGGCUUAUGUUAUAUUGUUAUUGUGCUGGCAUGACUGGUUGGGAUAUGUUUUAUGAAUUGUAUGAAUUAUUUUAUUUUACGCUUGCAGGUUGGGUAGUAAAAUAUUAGCUCUGUCAUGCAGUCAAAAUUUUAUUAUAUGGUGGGUUUAGCUUGCUGCAGUAGGCGGGUUUACGUGGACUAGCCCAUUAGCAGGGCACGAUAAACCCCGUUAUAUUUUACAUCAGUUGGAGACGCGAGUAGGGUAACUCCUGAGGUAUAACUUUUAGAGUUCACUUCACGCCAAACCACCACGUGAGGGGGAACUCGGCCAAUGCCAAGGAACAGCUAUAUUUUUAAAAUAAAAACAUGUUUAUGCGUACGUAACUUUUUAAUAGCCUUGGCGGACUCAGUUGGGAUAGCCCUCGGCCAAGGUAUCCUAGAUAACUGAGUAUGAUAAUAAUUUUUGGCAUGAGCCAAGCUUUUAGGAAAUUCAUAAGCCAUACUGAUUACUUUAUUUGAAUAAAUUGAUUUCAUUUGGUUGAAAUAAGUUGAAAGGUGAUAAAUUACAGUUUGAUGAAAUGGUUUAAUAGUUUCCUUUUACUUGCCUUUAGAUAUUUUAAAUGAUAUUUGUUUACUCACUUGGAUUUUAUAAUUUCACCACCCUUCUUUCCACCCUUUUCAGGCUCAGGAUAGUCGGUAGAUAGCUCAUUUCAUCGAGGAUUACAAUUGGACUGGCAUCCUCAAAAUAUGUAGGUUUAUCUCUCUAGAUACCUUUGGUCGUUCGUGGGCCCAUGUGUCACUGUAAAUUUAAUUUUAUACUUUGGUUAUCUGUAUUACAAUAUAUAUGAAUUUAUUUUGCUUUUUUGCUGUAAAAAUUAACUUGCAGUGUUCUAAAAAUAUUGUUUUAUGAGAAAAUUGAAUAUUUUAUUCUAUAUCUUUAUUAUAUUCAAAUAGUUAUAAUUUCAUUUUAAA